AACGAACGCUGGCGGCAGGCUUAACACAUGCAAGUCGAACGCCCCGCAAGGGGAGUGGCAGACGGGUGAGUAACGCGUGGGAAUCUACCCAUCCCUACGGAACAACUCCGGGAAACUGGAGCUAAUACCGUAUACGCCCUACGGGGGAAAGAUUUAUCAGGGAUGGAUGAGCCCGCGUUGGAUUAGCUAGUUGGUGGGGUAAAGGCCUACCAAGGCGACGAUCCAUAGCUGGUCUGAGAGGAUGAUCAGCCACAUUGGGACUGAGACACGGCCCAAACUCCUACGGGAGGCAGCAGUGGGGAAUAUUGGACAAUGGGCGCAAGCCUGAUCCAGCCAUGCCGCGUGAGUGAUGAAGGUCUUAGGAUUGUAAAGCUCUUUCACCGAUGAAGAUAAUGACGGUAGUCGGAGAAGAAGCCCCGGCUAACUUCGUGCCAGCAGCCGCCGUAA
rnacentral:rRNA from 1 species